UAUGUUCAGGCUGCAGUAUUUCAAACUUGUCAUGCUAUAGGGAGCACUAAAUUACCUUUACUAUUGCACCAUUAUUCACGAUGCUUGCUGUCAUUGAUGUAGAUGCUUCAGUAGUUUGAGUAAUUAUCUGGCUUAGUUAACUGAUCUUAUGUCUUUGACUCUUUGUUAUUCUUUGACUCGUGAUUUUAUAUUUAGAUGCAAUAACUUAAUUUUUCUGAAACAUCUUAUGAUACAGCAUUAUGUGUAGAUGCAGAUAAAACCAAAAAGAAGCAUUGUAGCCUGGGCCCUGGCAUAACGAAUCUUUUUUUCUAUAACUUUUUUUCUUUUUCUUUAUUUGCUAGCAACUGGUAGAUGUCUAUCCAUGGCAUUUAGGUUUAGAAUCAAACAGAUACAACCUGACCUUCCUGGCCCGUAGUCUGUUGAUCUAUAUCUUGAUUUGAAAACAUGAGGUGACUUCUAUCAUCUCUUUGGUUACCAUAAAACAUAAUGUUUUGUGUUCAUAUUGUUAUCUUGUCGAUUCAGCCAGCUCAAACUCAAUUGAACAAAUAAAAAGAAGGGCAGAAAGAAGAGAUUUGAUUUCUCACACUUGUUAUAAUUUAUGUUAUUGUUAACAAAAAACGAAAAAUCAUUAUAAUUUUGACACAACGCAGGUUUUAAGCCAUGUUUCUUGUAAGAAUUUCUUAAGGAGAUUGCUGAAGUUGAGAGAGUGGCAAUAUAAUUGCUUCAUAGCCUUGAUUGAAACAAAUAAUGCUACUAUUUGUGCUUUGUAUUUCUUAGUUCUUUAGACUGAUGUAGAAUCUACCAGCCAAUGCAAUGGUGUAAAAGUAGUUAUUCUAACAAUUUGUAGAACCAUAUGGAUGUUUAGUUACAUGAGCCAUAGGUUUCUUAUAUUGUUCUGUCAUUUAGUUAUUUAUCUAACUGCAGUUACGCUGAGUAAGAUUUCAAUUCAAUAUGUUGAAUCUUCAUUCUUCUUUAUCUGUAGGUCUAAUUCUUUGGAACCAUUAACAAGGACAACGAGGGGUAGUGACAAAAUCAUUCAUUGUGAGGACUUGUGUCUCAAUCUGACGUCAUGAAUCCCCUCGCCAAAAUGCAUUUGUCAAUUCAAUUACUUUUGAUGACUUUACCAUAGAAUUGUUCUUGUGCCAAUUCUGUGAUGCUCAUACUUGCUCAGGAAUGCGAAAUCCCUUCUCCAGAGGAGGCAGGAAACAGUCAUAGAAAGCAUUUUGAUUAAAUGUGUGCAAGCCACCUGAAUUUUAUUGGCUGCCAAAUGGAGGACUUCACACUUUGGAAGUAUACAAGCAUUUUCUACUUGGCUAUUUCAAUAUUAACCUUGAUGCUGCUACCUAUCUUCUAUCUUAUUGUUUAUUUGUACCAAAGGGAAAUGAGAAAGGGAACCCAAGAGCUGAAGCGCAUCUCACAAAUUGGACAAAAAACAAAGCCCUCUUAGUCUAAGUUUUUGGAACCAUUAACGAGGACAACAACGAGGGGUAGUGACAAAAUCAUUCAUUGUGAAGACUUAUGUCUCAAUCUGACAUCACGGAUCCCCUCACCAAAUUGCAUUUGUCAAUGGAAGCCUCGGGUCAGCAGAUUCGCUUGGUAAACUUGCUCCAUUUAUUAGUGGUGCAGCAUUCCUGCAUCCCAACAUUGUGGUUUUUAUUGUAAACAAAAAAUUUAUCAGACAAUAGAGGUGCGUUUUCUGAUGAAUACAAUUUUCUGUAGGCGUGAUCUAGCCCUUUUGUCCUUGUAUUGGAAGGAACACCAGAGACUAAAUAACUAAAACUUAUAGACUUUAUCAUAAGAAAAACCACCUUGGGUUCA